rnacentral:rRNA from 1 species
UACGGGAGGCAGCAGUGGGGAAUAUUGCACAAUGGGCGCAAGCCUGAUGCAGCCAUGCCGCGUGUAUGAAGAAGGCCUUCGGGUUGUAAAGUACUUUCAGUCGUGAGGAAGGUGUUAAGGUUAAUAACCUUAGCAAUUGACGUUAGCGACAGAAGAAACACCGGCUAACUCCGUGCCAGCAGCCGCGGUAAUACGGAGGGUGCGAGCGUUAAUCGGAAUUACUGGGCGUAAAGGGCACGCAGGCGGUUAAUUAAGUUGGAUGUGAAAUCCCCGGGCUUAACCUGGGAAUGGCAUUCAAGCUGGUUAGCUAGAGUCUUGUAGAGGGGGUAGAAUUCCAUGUGUAGCGGUGAAAUGCGUAGAGAUGUGGAGGAAUACCGGUGGCGAAGGCGGCCCCUGGACAAAGACUGACGCUCAUGUGCGAAAGCGUGGGGAGCAAACAGGGAUUAGAUACC